UGCGUAGGUGGUUUUGUAAGCGCGGGGUGAAAGGCAAUAGCUCAACUAUUGUAAGCCUUGCGAACUGUAAGACUUGAGUGCAGGAGAGGAAAGCGGAAUUCCUAGUGUAGCGGUGAAAUGCGUAGAUAUUAGGAGGAACACCAGUGGCGAAGGCGGCUUUCUGGACUGUAACUGACACUGAGGCACGAAAGCGUGGGGAGCAAACAGGAUUAGAUACCCUGGUAGUCCACGCCGUAAACGAUGAGCACUAGGUGUCGGGGCCGCAAGGUUUCGGUGCCGCAGUUAACGCAUUAAGUGCUCCGCCUGGGGAGUACGCACGCAAGUGUGAA
rnacentral:rRNA from 1 species